UACGUAGGUGGCGAGCGUUGUCCGGAAUCAUUGGGCGUAAAGGGAGCGCAGGCGGGCAUGUAAGUCUUUCUUAAAAGUGCGGGGCUCAACCCCGUGAUGGGAAAGAAACUAUGUGUCUUGAGUACAGGAGAGGAAAGCGGAAUUCCCAGUGUAGCGGUGAAAUGCGUAGAUAUUGGGAGGAACACCAGUGGCGAAGGCGGCUUUCUGGACUGCAACUGACGCUGAGGCUCGAAAGCCAGGGGAGCGAACGGG
rnacentral:rRNA from 1 species